GUGGGGAAUAUUGGACAAUGGGCGAAAGCCUGAUCCAGCAAUGCCGCGUGAGUGAAGAAGGCCUUCGGGUUGUAAAGCUCUUUUACCCGGGAAGAUAAUGACUGUACCGGGAGAAUAAGCUCCGGCUAACUCCGUGCCAGCAGCCGCGGUAAUACGGAGGGAGCUAGCGUUGUUCGGAAUUACUGGGCGUAAAGCGUACGUAGGCGGCUUUGUAAGUCAGAGGUGAAAGCCCACGACUCAAUCGUGGAACUGCCUUUGAGACUGCUUCGCUUGAAGAUGGGAGAGGUUAGUGGAAUUCCGAGUGUAGAGGUGAAAUUCGUAGAUAUUCGGAAGAACACCAGUGGCGAAGGCGGCUAACUGGACCAUUCUUGACGCUGAGGUACGAAAGCGUGGGGAGCAAACAGGAUUAGAUACCCGGGUAGUCC
rnacentral:rRNA from 1 species